rnacentral:rRNA from 1 species
AGCCGGAGCUUCUUCUGCGGGUACCGUCAUUAUCUUCCCCGCUGAAAGGGGUUUACAACCCUAAGGCCUUCUUCACCCACGCGGCAUGGCUGGAUCAGGCUUUCGCCCAUUGUCCAAUAUUCCC